CGGCAGAGACUCCAAAGAUUCACAGUUAUUCAUGCUAAGAUAUAUCAAGUUGUGCGGCAAACCCCCUACUGGGAAGGAGACUAAACUCCUACAUUGGCUUAUUUUCAAAUCUUCAAGAGAUUUGAGGUCUUUCAGUCCACUUGGUAACUCCUUCAGAUUUGGACACAAAUCUAUGUCCAAAACUUCAAGGUUGCAAGGCAAAAGCCCUUCCUCUCCAUCUACCAAUGACACAAGCUCAUGACAUCCUCCAAUUUCCAAACGCUUUAGGCUAGUAAGACAGGUGGCAUUAGUCACACUCUUGAGAAAUGCUACUUGACAUCUUCUAAUAUUGAGUGUUAUAAGUGAUGGGAGCACUUUUGGUAAUUCAACCAAGAGCGGGCAAUUAAUAAUGACAAGUUUUUCCAGGGAAGGAAGGAAGUUGGGCAAUUUUUCAACCAACUUGGAACAAUUUUGUAUAUGGAGUUCUUGCAGCUUAGGAAAUUUUGCCACAGAAUCUUCAUCCAGCCCAUUUGACCAAGCCCACUGCUCCCACUCACCCAUAUUAACAAUCUCUAGCGUUUCCAAACAAGAAAAACAUGAUUCAUCCCCAUAAAACUCCACACCAACUUCCUUCACUCCACUUAAGCCUUUUAUGCUCAACCUUUUUAAUGACUUUAAUCGUCCGAGUGGUGGCAGUGAAGUAAUUUGAUGACAGUUGCUCAGCUCCACCUGCACCGUGCCAGAGAAUGAAGGCUCACCUAGCCACAAUGGGAAUUUCCUCCCACCAAAUGAUGUAAUUGAUAGGCUUGAUAGACUUUGAUGUGGCCGUAUUGAGUUGAGAACUUGUUCUUCAUGACUUGGGUUUCUCGAAUCAUAAGAAAAUUCAUCAGUCCAUUUCAAGUAUAACUCGGUGAUACCAGGCUUAUCCUUCAGAAUGGCAAAAGCCGCAUCUCCAAUAUCUUCCACUUCGACAUUCUCCAAACUUGUAAUAUGAAGCUGCCCUCGAAGAUCACAAAGUUUCUUCAGCUCUGUGAUCCGUCCAUUGCUUUUCCCCACGAUAAAUUUGGUCAACACGCAGAGACUAGUCAAAUUACCAAUAUGUGGUGGCAUCUCUUUCAAUUUUGUUGUGCCAAUAAUAUCAAGAUGCAGCAAGUUGAGUAAAUUGCAAAUGCCUUUAGGUAACUCAAUAAGCUCAUAACAAUCGAACAACUUUAAUGUCUGCAAGUUGAAGAGUUUAUCCACUGAUUCAGGCAAUCUUUUGAUUAAAGUAACAGACAAGUUGAGGUAGCGCAAGUGUUUCAAGUCACCAAUAGAAUCCGGCAACUCCUCAAUCACAAGGUGAGGUAGAGAUAGUGACCUUAAGCAUUUUAAUUUUGGCACCAAGUCAUGCACCACCUUACUAGUUAGGUAGCAUCUCCCCACAUCACGACCCCGGGAUAACAAUGUCCGCAAAUUCUUCAUUUCAUAGAAGCUUUGAAAUCUUUGUAAAGUGUUCAUAAAAUGAGGAAUAAAUGAAGAAUGUCUAAUCUUUGCAUAUGAUUUUGCAUUAUCCAACUUAUCAACCAUAUGCAAACAUAUUUCUCUGCUAACAAAGCAAGCUAAAUCAAUGAUUAGGUCGUGCAUUAUAUAUUUUGAUUCAUUAUCAUUUGAUUGUUGGAAAAACGAUCUUGAUAAUAAAUCAUCGAAAUAUUUAUGACCCAAACCUUCACUCUCCUUCAUUUUCUUCUGGUCAUACAAGAAACCCUCAGCCAUCCACAGCAAAACCAAUUCAUUCCUAUCAAACUCACGAUCUUUUGGUAGUAUUGCACAAUAAGAGAAACAUUGCUUCAAAUGAGGUGGAAGAUGAAGAUAACUCAACCUUAAGGCUGGAAGAAUAUUGUUGUCGUUGUCUGGUAACUCCCAUAUCUGACUGCUCAAUACUUCCUUCCACAAAUUAGGAUUUGGUUUACCCCUUAAUAUGCCUCCAAGAGCUUUUGCUGCCAAAGGUAAUCCUCCACAUCGUUUGACAAUCCCUUCACCCAUUUCUUUCAGCUUCAAGUGCUUGUCAAAAUUAUUUGCUCCCAAAGCAUGCUGGGCAAACACAGACAUGCUUUCAUGGUGUGACAGCUUGUUAAGAGCAUAUGCUUGAGUAGCACCCACCUUUAAUGAAACAUCCUGACUUCGAGUCGUGACGAUAACUCUGCUUUGAGGAGCCCCUGCUUCAAAAGGACCCCAAAACAGAGUCCAUUGCUCAUAGUUCUGAGUCCAAACAUCAUCUAGGACAACUAAAAACUUCUUCCCAGACAACUUUUGCUUCAAUUUUACCUGAAGCAAAUUUAAAUCAUUAUCAUCACCACCAUCACCCAAUUGAAAAAGAACUGUUUUUGUGACCCUAAAAACAUCAAAACCUUCGCCAACAGAAACCCAGGCUUUCAAAUCAAGCUCCAACGUGGGGUCAUUGUAGACUAGCUGAGCUAGAGUUGUCUUGCCAAGGCCUCCCAUCCCAACUAUGGAAAUCACAGACACCUGGGCAUCACUUGUCUCAGCAUUCAACAAUUUCAACAUCGCCUUCUUAUCUUCCUCCCUACCAUAAACCUUUGCUUCAUUAACCAAAGAGGUCGAGGGUGGUCUUUCUGUCACAUGGCUGACCCUCCUUCUGAUAGACUCUACUAAACGGAGUUCAUCUUUCUGCUUUAUUAUCUCAUCUAAUCGAGCACUAGUUUCCUCUAUUUUGGCAACCAUCUCAGCAUUGAACUUAAUAGCAUUUAGAGUAAGAUUCGCCCCACCACACAUAACAGAGAAAAAUUUGUGCACCUUAUUUGGACGAACAGGUUUGUCUUCCAACUUGCGUCGCCGAAACUCCGUGGCAAGUUCAUCAAUGAUAUCCUCCAGGUCGUAAGCCAAGUCUCUGAGAUCGCUUAACCAGAUCUCCACCAAUCGAUUUGCCGUCUGCUUCUCCUCUGCAUCUUCAAGCACCGCAUAAAUUCUCUUGAGAAUCUUUUCCCACUUCUUGAGUUCAGCCAAGACUUGACCUUGGCCUACAUAUUUCAUCAAGUCAAUGGAAUUCAACCUAUCGAGAAGCCCCUGAAAGCAAACAGAGAGGAUAGAGCCUCCAACAGCAGUGACAAUAUCCAUGGAAAAUAGUGAGUUGUGAGAGAAAAAUUAAACUAUAAAGUUUCGAGUUUGAAGGCAAGAGUUUGCAAAGACAGCUUGUCUGAUGCUCUUUUGCUGCCUUUACCGAAGGGUCUCGGAGCUCUACAGUCAUGGCGUCCCCGCCAAACUAGUGGUCGAUUAUUUAAUAAUCAGAUGAGCUAAUCAAUGAUCAGUUGCUUUAACUUUUGAGGACCUGAGAGGCAACAAUGAAAAAGAAGGCAUAAUAAUGGGUUUUUGGUGAUCUCCCACUUCCACAUUUUUUAAUGCAAAUAUUCCAUCGCACCAUGAUUUUUCGAAAUUAAAAAAAAAAAAAAAGCAAAGUAUAAAGAUGAAAAUCUUAUUAAUUAAUCCAAAAUUAAAAUAAUUAAAUAUAAAUUAAUCAUUCUAUUGAUAAAUUAUAAAAAAAAAUAUUGAGGCAAUCUCAUCAACUAUUAAUUUAUAUUCUAAAUUUAUUAAUUGUUGAUACUAUAUUAUAAUUAUUUAAAAUAAGUUAUAAAUUAUUACCCCAAAAUAAAUUUAUAUGGUAAAAAUUUGAAUAGUAAUACGAUUUCACUGAAGAAAUAAAGAUCCGUACAUCUUUUAACACCUGAAUCUCGACACAAAGAGAUAGAUUGGAGGUAAACAUUCUAUUGAGCACUCUAUACCUCCUCCACAAUCAGACACAGAGAUAGAUUGAAGGGAAGUGAGGCUUUGCAUCUGAUUGGGUAGAGACCUCAAAUUUUUGCACGGAUGAAUUUGAAAAUAGACAAGCUUGGGAUUGGGCAAUCCCAUCUCUGGGAACAACUCUAAUUGAUGACAGCCCCUAUUUCUAACUUUUGGAGACUCUGGAAGUUUUGCAUAUGAUUGGAUAGAGACCUCAAUCCUUGACAAUCGGCGAUUUUUAAAGAGACAAGAGAAGAGAUGGGCAAUUCCUUACCAGAAAACAAUUCUAAUUGAGGACAGUUCCAUAUUUCUAAAUCUGUAAGAUGAGAAAGCCCAUAAUAUAGCGAGUUUAAUAAUUGUGUCGUCCAGCAGUUGUGAAUGUUAAGAUGCUUAAGGGAAUCAGGAAACUUUCCAUUUGAAGAAGAAUCGAGGGAUCCACAAUUCCUCGAGAUGAGAUGUCUCACUAAUGUAAUUACUGUGACACACAAUUCCCUUCGGCAGAGACUCCAAAGACCCACAGUUUUCCAUACUAAGAUAUAUCAAAUUGUGCGGCAAAGCCCCCACUGGGAAGGAGACUAAACUCCUACAUUGGCUUAUUUUCAAAUCUUCGAGAGAUUUGAGGUCUUUCAGUCCACUAGGUAACUCCUUCAGAUUUGGACACAAAUCUAUGUCCAAAACUUCCAGGUUGCAAGGCAAAAGCCCUUCCUCUCCAUCUACCAAUGACACAAGCUCAUGACAUCCCCCAAUUUCCAAACGCUUUAGGCUAGUAAGACAGGUGGCAUUAGUCACACUCUUGAGAAAUGCCUCUUGACAUCUUCUAAUAUAGAGUGUUAUAAAUGAUGGGAGCACUUUUGGUAAUUCAACCAAGAGCGGGCAAUUAUCAAUGACAAUAUUUUCCAGGGAAGAAAGGAAGUUGGGCAAUUUUUCAACCAACCUGGAACAAUUUUGUAUUUGGAGUUCAUACAGCUUAGGAAAUUUUGCCACAGAAUCUUCACCCAGACCAUUAGACCAAGCCCACUGCUCCCACUCACCCAUAUCAACAAUCUCUAGCGUUUCCAAACAGGAAAAACAUGAUUCAUCCUCAUAAAACUCCACACCCACUUCUUUCACUCCACUUAAGCCUUUUAUGCUCAACUUUUUUAAUGACUUUAAUCGUCCGAGUGGUGGCAGUGAAGUAAUUUGAUGACAGUUGCUCAGCUCCACCUGCACCAUGCCAGAGAAUGAAAUAAUACUUCUGUUUUGCAUGUCAUUUUUGUCAAAAAUAUAAUGUCAUUGAAUUGGUUUUAUGAAAUAAUACUUCUGGAAUUCUUUU
rnacentral:lncRNA from 1 species